rnacentral:rRNA from 1 species
UACAGAGGGGGCAAGCGUUGUUCGGAAUUACUGGGCGUAAAGGGCGCGUAGGCGGCCUGCUAAGUCGAACGUGAAAUCCCUGGGCUCAACCCAGGAACUGCGUCCGAUACUGGUUGGCUUGAAUCCGGGAGAGGGAUGUGGAAUUCCAGGUGUAGCGGUGAAAUGCGUAGAUAUCUGGAGGAACACUGGUGGCGAAGGCGACAUCCUGGACCGGCAUUGACGCUGAGGCGCGAAAGCCAGGGGAGCAAACGGG